UGUGGUUUAAUUCGAUGAUACGCGAGGAACCUUAACCCGGGCUUAAAUUGCAACUGACGGAACCGGAAACGGUUCUUUCUUCGGACAGUUGUGAAGGUGCUGCAUGGUUGUCGUCAGCUCGUGCCGUGAGGUGUCGGCUUAAGUGCCAUAACGAGCGCAACCCUUACGGGUAGUUACCAUCAGGUUAUGCUGGGGACUCUACCCGGACUGCCGUCGUAAGAUGUGAGGAAGGUGGGGAUGACGUCAAAUCAGCACGGCCCUUACGUCCGGGGCUACACACGUGUUACAAUGGGGGGUACAGAAGGCAGCUACACGGCGACGUGGUGCUAAUCCCAAAAGCCUCUCUCAGUUCGGAUUGGAGUCUGCAACCCGACUCCAUGAAGCUGGAUUCGCUAGUAAUCGCGCAUCAGCCACGGCGCGGUGAAUACGUUCCCGGGCCUUGUACACACCGCCCGUCAAGCCAUGAAAGCCGGGGGUACCUGAAGUACGUAACCGCGAGGAGCGUCCUAGGGUAAAACUGGUGAUUGGGGCUAAGUCGUAACAAGGUAGGCGUAGCGAG
rnacentral:rRNA from 1 species